UGUGGGAGCGAGCUUGCUCGCGAUAGCGGAGUAUCAGUCAACUGUGAUGUGGCUGAUGUAAUGUCAUCGCGAGCAAGCUCGCUCCCACA
rnacentral:misc_RNA from 1 species